UACGUAGGGAGCAAGCGUUGUCCGGAUUUACUGGGUGUAAAGGGCGCGUAGGCGGGAGAGCAAGUCAGAUGUGAAACCUCCGGGCUUAACCCGGAAACUGCAUUUGAAACUGCUUUUCUUGAGUGAUGGAGAGGCAAGCGGAAUUCCUAGUGUAGCGGUGAAAUGCGUAGAUAUUAGGAGGAACACCAGUGGCGAAGGCGGCUUGCUGGACAUUAACUGACGCUGAGGCGCGAAAGCGUGGGGAGCAAAC
rnacentral:rRNA from 1 species